UACGGAAGCAGCAGUGGGGAAUAUUGCACAAUGGGCGCAAGCCUGAUGCAGCCAUGCCGCGUGUAUGAAGAAGGCCUUCGGGUUGUAAAGUACUUUCAGUCGUGAGGAAGGUGUUAAGGUUAAUAACCUUAGCAAUUGACGUUAGCGACAGAAGAAGCACCGGCUAACUCCGUGCCAGCAGCCGCGGUAAUACGGAGGGUGCGAGCGUUAAUCGGAAUUACUGGGCGUAAAGGGCACGCAGGCGGUUAAUUAAGUUGGAUGUGAAAUCCCCGGGCUUAACCUGGGAAUGGCAUUCAAGACUGGUUAGCUAGAGUCUUGUAGAGGGGGUAGAAUUUUCAUGUGUAGCGGUGAAAUGCGUAGAGAUGUGGAGGAAUACCGGUGGCGAAGGCGGCCCCUGGACAAAGACUGACGCUCAUGUGCGAAAGCGUGGGGAGCAAAC
rnacentral:rRNA from 1 species